CCACUGCACUGUCACCUGACCCCCUAUUUUAAUUAUUUUUUUACCAAGGUCUUUCUCAGCCCUAUGUCCAAGUAUGUGGGAACCUCAGAGCUACAGGUAUGAGAAUCUAUUUGCAUCAGUAUUAAGAUGAAGAGAGAAACAGAGAUGACCCCUGAGACUCUGCACCACCUCACAUGGGAAACUGACUUUCCACACAUGGUUUUGUCUUUCCUUAGUUUUAGUUUUAGUUUUUUUUUUCCUCCAGGGUUAUAACGGGGGGCUUGGUGCCUGCACUAUGAAUUCACUGCUUCUGGAGGCUAUUUUUCCCUUUUGAUGCCCUUGUUGAGCUUUUUGUAGUUCUUAUUGUUGUCAUAGUUGUUGUUGGAUAGGACAGAGAGAAAUCAAAAGAAGAGGGGAAGACAGAGAGGAGGAGAGAAAGAUAGACACCUGCAGACCUGCUUCUCUGCUGGCAAAUCGACACCCUGUAGGUGGGGAGCUGGAGGCUGGAACCGGGAUCCUUACGCCGGUCCUUGCACUUUGCGCCAUGUGCAGUUUUAGCUUUUAGACCGGUGUAUAACACCAUCUAUCACUCUCAAGAGUUUCUGCAACUAAACAUCUUUCCCUUUUUAUAUUUAAGUUGGAUAUAUAAACACCUGUCAAGGCAGUCGACAUUGUAGUCUACUGACAGCAAGGUUUAAGAUGCCCUCACUCCCUGAUUUGAUUUUCUCCUGAAACCUUCCAGUUUGCCCGGCAGGUAACUUCAAAAUCAGAGUGAAGUGCGGAGCUGGAGUAUCACAGGGGUGUGUGGGCGGAGUCAGAUCCUGGAGACCCGCCUGACCCACAGCUACGGGAGGACGUCCUAGCACCUGUGGGCGUGGCCAGCGAGCCCGCGCCUGCGCAGAUGCAGGACUCCAGCUGCUAAGGUGGCAUUGCAGGCCUGUCCCAUGUCCGGAGGCCAGGGCCUCAGUGUGGACACAGGACUGUGCCGUCUGCGCUGGGAGAACAGCCUUGACCAUUGAGGGGUCACUGGCCCCUUGGCAGCCCCCCGCACCCGGAGGCAUGACAGAGAAAUCAGGAGGGAGGAAAGAGGAAGAGACAGAGGCACCUGCAGCCCUGCUCCACCACUUGGAAGCUUCCCCCCUGCAGGUGGGGACUAAGGGGCUUGAACCCGGGUUGUCACACACCAGCAACCCUCCCAUGCUGUCAUGUUUCAUGUUUUUAUAAUUAAAUGUCAGUAUGUG